UUGUCUCAAAGAUUAAGCCAUGCAUGUCUCAGUACAAGCCAAAUUAAGGUGAAACCGCGAAAGGCUCAUUAAAUCAGUUAUGGUUCCUUAGAUCGUACCCACACUUACUUGGAUAACUGUGGUAAUUCUAGAGCUAAUACAUGCAAACAGAGCUCCGACCGGAGACGGAAGGAGCGCUUUUAUUAGAUCAAAACCAAUCGGUGACGGGUUCGCCCGACAUCGUAUAACUUGGUGACUCUGAAUAACUUUAAGCUGAUCGCACGGUCUAGCACCGGCGACGCAUCUUUCAAAUGUCUGCCUUAUCAACUGUCGAUGGUAGGUUCUGCGCCUACCAUGGUCGUAACGGGUAACGGGGAAUCAGGGUUCGAUUCCGGAGAGGGAGCCUGAGAAACGGCUACCACAUCCAAGGAAGGCAGCAGGCGCGCAAAUUACCCACUCCCGGCACGGGGAGGUAGUGACGAAAAAUAACGAUACGGGACUCAUCCGAGGCCCCGUAAUCGGAAUGAGUACACUCUAAACCCUUUAACGAGGAUCAAUUGGAGGGCAAGUCUGGUGCCAGCAGCCGCGGUAAUUCCAGCUCCAAUAGCGUAUAUUAAAGUUGUUGCGGUUAAAAAGCUCGUAGUCGAAUUUGUGUCCCGCGCCGCCGGUUCAUCGUCCGCGGUGUUAACUGGCGUGCCGCGGGACGUCCUGCCGGUGGGCUUAGCUCUUCGGGGCGGCCCAACUCAAUCCCGCCGCGGUGCUCUUAAUUGAGUGUCGAGGUGGGCCGGCACGUUUACUUUGAACAAAUUAGAGUGCUUAAAGCAGGCUAGAACUUCGCCUGAAUACUGUGUGCAUGGAAUAAUGGAAUAGGACCUCGGUUCUAUUUUGUUGGUUUUCGGAACCCCGAGGUAAUGAUUAAUAGGAACGGAUGGGGGCAUUCGUAUUGCGACGUUAGAGGUGAAAU
rnacentral:rRNA from 1 species